rnacentral:lncRNA from 1 species
AUGCUCAAAAUUCUCCAAGCCAGGCUUCAGCAAUACAUGAACCAUGAACUUCCAGAUGUUCAAGCUGGUUUUAGAAAAGGCAGAGGAACCAGAGAUCAAAUUGCCAACAUCCACUGGAUCAUGGAAAAAGCAAGAGAGUUCCAGAAAAACAUCUAUUUCUGCUUUAUUGACUAUAUGAAAGCCUUUGACUGUGUGGAUCACAAUAAACUGUGGAAAAUUCUGAAAGAGAUGGGAAUACCAGACCACCUGACCUGCCUCUUGAGAAAUCUGUAUGCAGGUCAGGAAGCAACAGUUAGAACUGGACAUGGAACAACAGACUGGUUCCAAAUAGGAAAAGGAGGACAUCAAGGCUGUAUAUUGUCACCCUGCUUAUUUAACUUAUAUGCAGAGUACAUCAGGAGAAAUGCUAGACUAGAAGAAACACAAGCUGAAAUCAAGAUUGCCAGGAGAAAUAUCAAUAUCCUCAGAUAUGCAGAUGACACCACCCUUAUGGCAGAAAGUGAAGAGGAACUAAAAAGCCUCUUGAUGAAAGUGAAAGAAGAGAGUGAACAAGUUGGCUUAAAGCUCAACAUUCAGAAAACAAAGAUCAUGGCAUCUGGUCCCAUCACUUCAUGGGAAAUAGAUGGGGAAACAGUGACAACAGUGUCAGGCUUUAUGUUUUUGGGCUCCAAAAUAACUGCAGAUUGUGAUUGCAGCCAUGAAAUUAAAAGAUGCUUAGUCCUUGGAAGGAAAGUUAUGACCAACCUAAAUAGCAUAUUCAAAAGCAGAGACAUUACUUUGCCAACUAAGGUCCGUCUAGUCAAGGCCAUGGUUUUUCCUGUGGUCAUGUAUGGAUGUGAGAGUUGGACUGUGAAGAAGGCUGAGCUACAAAGAAUUGCUGCUUUUGAACUGUGGUGUUGGAGAAGACUCUUGAGAGUCCCUUGGACUGCAAGGAGAUCCAACCAGUCCCUUCUGAAGGAGAUCAACCCUGGGAUUUCUUUGGAAGGAAAGAUGCUAGAGCUGAAACUCCAGUCCUUUGGCCACCUCAUGCAAAGUGCUGACUCACUGGAAAAGACUCUGAUGCUGGGAGGGAUUGGGGGCAGGAGGAGAAGGGGACGACAGAGGAUGAGAUGGCUGGAUGGCAUCACUGACUCGAUGGACAUGAGUCUGAGUGAACUCCGGGAGUUGGUGAUGGACAGGGAGGUCUUGCGAGCUGCAAUUCAUGGGGUCACAAAGAGUCAGACACGACUGAGUGACUGA